rnacentral:miRNA from 1 species
CGCGUGGACCAGGCCGAGAAG